CUUUUAGGAAGAAAAGAGAACGCAACUCUUCUUUGGUUCUUCGCUUUUAGCCGUGGCAAGGGCAGCGGCGGAGCAGCGGAGGCAGCGGGCAGAAGGAAAAGGCGGCUAAGCACGGGUCGGCGCGGGUGGUGGUGGUGAGAGGAAGGGUGACCGAUCCCAAAAGCCAAAGAUCUUGGAGUGCGGGUGGGCGGGCGGGCGAGGUACGUUCGGGGCGGCGAGCGGCGCGAGCGGCCUCCGCGGACCCGGAGGGUAGCUGGACGGUAUAAUCGCCGCGGCCGCUCGGAGGCGGCAGGAUCCGCGCCGCGGGAGGCCGACGGGCGCACCUCUCGCCGGCCUCCGCCGGCCCGGGGCGCCGAGGGCCGGUUCCCGCGGCACGAGCGGAGGCUGUGCCCCCGCCUGCUCCUCCAGCGGCCCGGUAGCGGGGACGAGCUGCACGCGUCGCUCGUUCUCAAGCAAGAUGCGCAGUCCUUCCUUCACCUCUCUCCCUUCAACGCAGGCCUACAACGACUGUUGAAACUUUUGGACAUGAUGUUAAUGUUCUUACGCCAGGAUGUUUUACCCCUAGGUUUACGUAUAGUCUAGUACGAAAGGUUGUACUACCUAAAUAAACUGGCGCAAGACGACCUACUUCUCUUAGGUAAAUGCAAAGUCGGAAUAGUGUUCCGGUAGUCUCUUGGCAAACUGAUAAUGUGAAAGCCAGUCUUGAUGUAAUCCGGUGACCAUCUAAAAUCCUUGAGAAUACAGCCAUUGUAAAGACAUAAGUCACUAUACCUCUUCGUCGAAGCCGUCCCAGUAUUAUAACAAGACUACAGAUUAGUAGUCUGUCUUCGCCUAGGUCGUCAAUAACGGAACAGUGAACUUUCUUCGUUAGGCACCUAAUCGCUCUUGUAUCAAAUACAACGACCCCUAUCCCAAGAAUGUCUAGGAGAAACGUUCGGUAAAUCGUACCCUUCUUUGGAGGAAACACACAUGAGUUUUUUCGUAUACUUACUAAAAGGACUCGAUUAACUCUACUUCUCCUCCCGUUUGUGAGCUUCAGAGUUCCUUUACCGAAACGAAAAUGCACCCCCAAGUGUAUAUUAAACCUAUCGAGGUUCACCGCCAUCUCUGGCAGGACUGGGAAACUGACCUCUUACCGUGGGCCGCGGUAAACUACGUAGACGUCACCUAUUAUACUCCUCCGAAGACCUCGUAAGACCGCAAGGACCUGUGUAUAUAGGUAAUAGUAACGAUACAAUACUCUAAUACGGAGGUGGUGUUGUCUAACUCUUUCUCUAACCACUCGUUUCCCACUAUAGGAAGGUACCACAUCCGAACAGUCAUCGACUUCUUUAUUUCAUACCCCUACAAUGACGAGUUAGAGCCUUACGACUACUCCGUUCCCCCUAUAAGAGUCUCCGAGACAUGUUAAGUCAACAACUAGUUAUAUUACAGGAGUUCAGACGAUAGAAAUCUCUGGCACCUCGUCAAAGCAGUUUGGGACGGUAGAGUGAGAGCGUUGGUACCGCUACUAUUCGAAAGAGUCCGGACUUAAAGAGUAAAGAAAAGCUGUCUCGUCUACUUGACGAUAUCACGUUACAACGCCCAAAAACGACCCUUCCGGAAUUUGAAACUACAGCAGUGUCAAUCCUACUCCGACGCUGUCGCCGGGACGUCUGGGACAUUCAACAACUUCACCGCACUUCCUUUUUGGCACACUAUACGACGAUGUGGCACAAGUACAUCACUGUUCUUGAGACGCCGACAACAGUCAGAUUAGGAUUUAUCGUGCCGCCUUGGGCCGUCGUCUACUACGUACACAAGUAGAAAACACUUCUCGAUGACGACAUACUCCACCGAUAGUAGACCCGGUCUAACCAGGUCGUUUAUAUCUAAACCAGGGAUCUAGGACCGUCCGUCAGCCGAGCUAAAAGAAAAACACGAUUUUCAAUUGAGCAGAAUAAAAAACUAAACAAAGCACAUGUAUAAUUAAGAAAACGAGGUUUUAAACCUCUGUGUACUGUACUAUAUAUGUAUGUCUCGGGUUAUACACAGCGGAAGGAUAAACAGAACCGG
rnacentral:rRNA from 1 species